AGAGUUUGAUCCUGGCUCAGGACGAACGCUGGCGGCGUGCUUAACACAUGCAAGUCGAACGGAGAACUUAUUUCGGUAAGUUCUUAGUGGCGAACGGGUGAGUAACGCGUGGGCAACCUGCCCUCCAGUUGGGGACAACAUUCCGAAAGGGAUGCUAAUACCGAAUGUGCUCCCUCCUCCGCAUGGAGGAGGGAGGAAAGAUGGCCUCUGCUUGCAAGCUAUCGCUGGAAGAUGGGCCCGCGUCUGAUUAGCUAGUUGGUGGGGUAACGGCUCACCAAGACGAUGAUCAGUAGCCGGUCUGAGAGGAUGAACGGCCACAUUGGGACUGAGACACGGCCCAAACUCCUACGGGAGGCAGCAGUGGGGAAUCUUCCGCAAUGGACGAAAGUCUGACGGAGCAACGCCGCGUGAGUGAUGAAGGUCUUCGGAUUGUAAAACUCUGUUGUUAGGGACGAAAGCACCGUGUUCGAACAGGUCAUGGUGUUGACGGUACCUAACGAGGAAGCCACGGCUAACUACGUGCCAGCAGCCGCGGUAAUACGUAGGUGGCAAGCGUUGUCCGGAAUUAUUGGGCGUAAAGAGCAUGUAGGCGGGCUUUUAAGUCUGACGUGAAAAUGCGGGGCUUAACCCCGUAUGGCGUUGGAUACUGGAAGUCUUGAGUGCAGGAGAGGAAAGGGGAAUUCCCAGUGUAGCGGUGAAAUGCGUAGAUAUUGGGAGGAACACCAGUGGCGAAGGCGCCUUUCUGGACUGUGUCUGACGCUGAGAUGCGAAAGCCAGGGUAGCAAACGGGAUUAGAUACCCCGGUAGUCCUGGCCGUAAACGAUGGAUACUAGGUGUAGGAGGUAUCGACCCCUUCUGUGCCGGAGUUAACGCAAUAAGUAUCCCGCCUGGGGA
rnacentral:rRNA from 1 species